rnacentral:rRNA from 1 species
UACGGAGGAUGCAAGCGUUAUCCGGAAUUAUUGGGCGUAAAGCGUCCGUAGGUGGCUUUACAAGUCAGCUGUUAAAGCGUGGAGCUUAACUCCAUAAAGGCAGUUGAAACUGUGAGGCUAGAGUGCGGUAGGGGUAAGGGGAAUUCCCAGUGUAGCGGUGAAAUGCGUAGAUAUUGGGAAGAACACCGGUGGCGAAAGCGCUCUGCUGGACCUUAACUGACACUGAGGGACGAAAGCUAGGGGAGCGAAUGGG